AGAGUUUGAUCAUGGCUCAGAACGAACGCUGGCGGCAGGCUUAACACAUGCAAGUCGAGCGGAUCCUUCGGGAUCAGCGGCAGACGGGUGAGUAACGCGUGGGAAUCUACCCAACCCUACGGAACAACUCCGGGAAACUGGAGCUAAUACCGUAUACGCCCCCCUUUAAAAUAUCAUGAAGCGUAAGAUGCCCUUGGCAUUUUAUGGGGGGGAAAGAUUUAUCGGGGAUGGAUGAGCCCGCGUUGGAUUAGCUAGUUGGUGGGGUAAAGGCCUACCAAGGCGACGAUCCAUAGCUGGUCUGAGAGGAUGAUCAGCCACAUUGGGACUGAGACACGGCCCAAACUCCUACGGGAGGCAGCAGUGGGGAAUAUUGGACAAUGGGCGCAAGCCUGAUCCAGCCAUGCCGCGUGAGUGAUGAAGGCCCUAGGGUUGUAAAGCUCUUUCACCGAUGAAGAUAAUGACGGUAGUCGGAGAAGAAGCCCCGGCUAACUUCGUGCCAGCAGCCGCGGUAAUACGAAGGGGGCUAGCGUUGUUCGGAAUUACUGGGCGUAAAGCGCACGUAGGCGGAUAUUUAAGUCAGGGGUGAAAUCCCAGAGCUCAACUCUGGAACUGCCUUUGAUACUGGGUAUCUUGAGUAUGGAAGAGGUAAGUGGAAUUCCGAGUGUAGAGGAAAUUCGUAGAUAUUCGGAGGAACACCAGUGGCGAAGGCGGCUUACUGGUCCAUUACUGACGCUGAGGUGCGAAAGCGUGGGGAGCAAACAGGAUUAGAUACCCUAGUAGUCC
rnacentral:rRNA from 1 species